rnacentral:rRNA from 1 species
UACGUAGGUGGCAAGCGUUGUCCGGAAUUAUUGGGCGUAAAGCGCGCGCAGGCGGUCCUUUAAGUCUGAUGUGAAAGCCCACGGCUCAACCGUGGAGGGUCAUUGGAAACUGGGGGACUUGAGUGCAGAAGAGGAGAGUGGAAUUCCACGUGUAGCGGUGAAAUGCGUAGAGAUGUGGAGGAACACCGGUGGCGAAGGCGGCAUCCUGGACCGAGAUUGACGCUGAGGCGCGAAAGCCAGGGGAGCAAACGGG